CUAGAAAGCCCGACCCGUGCAUAAUAUCGAUUACAUUAUUAUUACGAAGACUGAAAUCCCAGAAAGCCUCUUCCCUUUCGCUGGGACUGAGCUUCUCGCUUUGAAACAAACAUGGAGUUCCCGCGGAUCUGACCCUCCGGCAUUUCGGGCUUCAGAAAAAUCAAAUGACUCAUGGAUUCUGAACUUGAUAUAAAUAUUAAUGAUGGGGUGUUAAAUGAUUCAAGUGAUGCCGAGCUUAAGCAUUCUAAUGAUGGUGCAUUGGUAGGAAGCUUUGUUGAAGUUGAAGAGAUGUCUCAUCUUGGACAAGGACAAGAUGAUGAAGUGACUCAAAAUCCCUGUACAGAUGGAUCAAGUGUAGCGGUCGAAGCAGAUGAGCCGUAUGUGGGUCAGGAAUUUGAUACAGAAGAAACUGCACAAGCAUUUUAUAAUGCCUAUGGCAUGCGUGUGGGUUUCAUGACUCGUAUGAACUACCUGUCUCGAUCCAAACAUGAUGGAACCAUUAUUGGCCGGACUUUUGUAUGCAACAAGGAGGGUUACCGGAAGCCUGAUAGGCGCGAUAAGACUACCAUAAAGCCUCGGGCUCCCACUAGGGUAGGUUGUAAGGCCAUGGUAUCGAUAAAGAAAAUUAGUAUUGGGAAAUGGGUUGUUACAAGGUUCAUGAAGGGGCACACUCAUGCAUUGACUGCCACUGCCAACAAAGGUCAAAAGGGAUUGAUUGCUGAUCAAGUACCGAUUAUAAACCAAAUUGGACAACUGGAAAGCUUGCACACUCUUUGUAUAUGUGGAAUUGAUAUUGGAGUGGUCAAAUAUGUUAAAUUGAAUUGGCUGGUGGGACAGGAAAGCAUUUCCUUUUUUAUUAUUUAAAAAACUCAGAAACAAAAUAAUCGUUGUUUCUAGAUCUGUCAAAGUUCUGGUUCUGCAAUUUAAUUUGAUCCAUUGAGGGGAAAGUUGCGAAGAUCUUAGUAAGUUUAACUCGGGAUGAUAAGACAAAGAUUGAAGAAUUAACUCGGGCGCUGUUCCUUGAGAGAAAGCGGUCUGCUUCACUUAGAGAAAUAGUUGAUAUUCUAUUUGAUCACAUUGAGGAACAUACGCAAGACCUGUCAAAGAAAGUUCAGUAUGUUGUCGACAAGGUAAAGGAGAUUGAAUCGGAAGGGAAAAAGCGCUAUAACCUCGGAUAGUUGUAGCAUCCUAAACCUAAUGUAUACUGUAUAUAUUCACAUUAGCAUUAUAAUUUUAUUUUGUUUUACUGAACAAGUAUUACUUUGCAUUGCAAUGAUAAAUAUGAGUUUGGUUAGAGAGAA